UUGUUUUAUUUUGCAUGCAAGUUGGUCCUAAAAGUAGUGUGCAGUAAAUUACCAGAGCUCCUAAGGACUGUCAUCAGCUGGACUAUGGAAUAUAUCCAGGAACAUGUCCUGUCCUGGAUCCAAGCCCAGGGAGGAUGGGAAGGCCUCCUCUCCUUUUUCGGCACCCCCACUUGGCAAACCAUUGCUGUCUUUGCUGCGGGG